UUUUAUGGAGAGUUUGAUCCUGGCUCAGGAUGAACGCUGGCGGCGUGCCUAAUACAUGCAAGUCGAGCGAACGGACGAGAAGCUUGCUUCUCUGAUGUUAGCGGCGGACGGGUGAGUAACACGUGGAUAACCUACCUAUAAGACUGGGAUAACUUCGGGAAACCGGAGCUAAUACCGGAUAAUAUUUUGAACCGCAUGGUUCAAAAGUGAAAGACGGUCUUGCUGUCACUUAUAGAUGGAUCCGCGCUGCAUUAGCUAGUUGGU
rnacentral:rRNA from 1 species